rnacentral:rRNA from 1 species
UACGGAGGGUGCAAGCGUUGCUCGGAAUUAUUGGGCGUAAAGGGCAAGUAGGUGGUCUCAUUUGUCAGGGGUGAAAGCCUUGGGCUUAACUCAAGAAGUGCCCCUGAAACGGUGAGACUAGAGUGCUGGAGAGGGUCGUGGAAUUCCCGGUGUAGCGGUGAAAUGCGUAGAGAUCGGGAGGAACACCAGAGGCGAAGGCGGCGACCUGGACAGCGACUGACACUCAACUGCGAAAGCGUGGGGAGCAAACAGG